rnacentral:rRNA from 1 species
GACGAACGCUGGCGGCGUGCUUAACACAUGCAAGUCGUACGGUAAGGCCCUUUCGGGGGUACACGAGUGGCGAACGGGUGCGUAACACGUGAGUAACCUGCCCACAACUUUGGGAUAACGCUAGGAAACUGGUGCUAAUACUGGAUAUGUGCUCCUGCUGCAUGGUGGGGGUUGGAAAGCUCCGGCGGUUGUGGAUGGACUCGCGGCCUAUCAGCUUGUUGGUGGGGUAGUGGCCUACCAAGGCGGCGACGGGUAGCCGGCCUGAGAGGGUGACCGGCCACAUUGGGACUGAGAUACGGCCCAGACUCCUACGGGAGGCAGCAGUGGGGAAGAUUGCACAAUGGGCGCAAGCCGGAUGCAGCAACGCCGCGUGCGGGAUGACGGCCUUCGGGUUGUAAACCGCUUUCAGCAGGGACGAAGCUUUUUGUGACGGUACCUGCAGAAGAAGCACCGGCUAACUACGUG